UUCCGUCAAUUCCUUUAAGUUUCAGCUUUGCAACCAUACUUCCCCCGGAACCCAAAAGCUUUGGUUUCCCGGAAGCUGCCCGCCGAGUCAUCGGAGGAACGUCGGCGGAUCGCUAGCUGGCAUCGUUUAUGGUCAGAACUAGGGCGGUAUCUGAUCGCCUUCGAACCUCUGACUUUCGUUCUUGAUUAAUGAAAACAUUUUUGGCAAAUGCUUUCGCUUCUGUCCGUCUUGCGACGAUCCAAGAAUUUCACCUCUAACGUCGCAAUACGAAUGCCCCCAUCUGUCCCUAUUAAUCAUUACCUCGGGUUUCCGAAAACCAACAAAAUAGAACCGAGGUCCUGUUCCAUUAUUCCAUGCACACAGUAUUCAGGCGAAAUUUUAGCCUGCUUUGAGCACUCUAAUUUGUUCAAAGUAAACGUGCCGGCCCGCCUCGACACUCAAUUAAGAGCACCGCGACAGGAUUAUUGAGUCGGAUGGUAGAGCGCCUGCAACCCCACCACAUCAUACAGUAACAACCGAAGUUGCACACGCACAAUGGGGAAGCAUACAGGGUCCACGCAUCCACCGGCAGGACGUUCCGCGGACGUGCCAGUUAAACACCGCGGGCGGUGAACCGACAGCGCGGAACACAAAUUCAACUACGAGCUUUUUAACCGCAACAACAUUAAUAUACGCUAUUGGAGCUGGUAUUACCGCGGCUGCUGGCACCAGACUUGCCCUCCAAUGGGUACUCGUUAAAGGAUUUAAAGUGUACUCAUUCCGAUUACGGG
rnacentral:rRNA from 1 species